rnacentral:rRNA from 1 species
UACGGGAGGCAGCAGUGGGGAAUAUUGCACAAUGGGCGAAAGCCUGAUGCAGCUAUGCCGCGUGUAUGAAGAAGGCCUUAGGGUUGUAAAGUACUUUCAUCGGGGAGGAAAAAACAAAACUAAUAAUUUUAUUUCUUGACGUUACCCGAAAAAGAAGCACCGGCUAACUCCGUGCCAGCAGCCGCGGUAAUACGGAGGGUGCUAGCGUUAAUCAGAAUUACUGGGCGUAAAGAGCACGUAGGUGGUUUUUUUAAAGUCAGAUGUGAAAUCCCUGGGCUUUAACCUAGGAACUGCAUUUUGAAACUGAAAUACUAGAGUAUCGUAGAGGGAGGUAGAAUUCUAGGUGUAGCGGUGAAAUGCGUAGAUAUCUGGAGGAAUACCUGUGGCGAAAGCGGCCUCCUAAACGAAUACUGACACUGAGGGUGCGAAAGCGUGGGGAGCAAACAGGGAUUAGAUACCCGU